CUUCAAGGAGAGCAGGAAUUUGAAAGAAACUAAGGGACCCCUCCCUGCGUGUUCAGCUGCUGAAGCAAACAAAGUGUGACAUCGUGCGCUCCCUCUGUGUGCUGCCCAAAACUCAGCAUGACCUCAGCUUCUUCGUGGUGGACAUGUGGUUCCAGACGGAGAUGAUGAUCUGCUUCUCCGUCAAUGGGUGGUGUUCAAGGAAGUGGAAGGAAUGGUCUCAGGAUUCUGUUCGCGCCUUCACCCGGACCUUCAUCGCUACCCCUGUCAGCAAUUACAGGUGAGUGCUUUGUUGUGGGUGUAACACCCAGUUCAGUAUGAGUUCAGGGGUAUGGGAAUGGGGAGGUACAGUCUUUGGGGUGUUCUCAAUAUUG